AGGAGACGUUGAAUACAAAACACCACCAUCGGCGCGGUCGUCCUUGGCGUCGGUCUUUCGGGGCCGGCGCGGGGGCGGCUUAGCCCGGUGGCACCGGUGAAU
rnacentral:rRNA from 1 species